rnacentral:rRNA from 1 species
GGUGAACGCUGGCGAUGUGCUUAACACAUGCAAGUCGAGGGGUAUAGGUUUUCGGACCUAGAGACCGGCGCACGGGUGCGUAACGCGUAUGCAAUCUACCUUGUACAGGGGGAUAGCCCAGAGAAAUUUGGAUUAAUACCCCAUAGUAUUAUAGAAUGGCAUCAUUUUAUAAUUAAAGUUCCAACGGUACAAGAUGAGCAUGCGUCCCCUUAGCUGGUUGGUAUGGUAACGGCAUACCAAGGCUACGAUGGGUAGGGGUCCUGAGAGGGAGAUCCCACACACUGGUACUGAGACACGGACCAGACUCCUACGGGAGGCAGCAGUGAGGAAUAUUGGUCAAUGGACGCAAGUCUGAGCGAGCCAUGCCGCGUGCAGGAUGACGGUCCUAUGGAUUGUAAACUGCUUUUGUACAGGAAGAAACACUCCUACGUGUAGGAACUUGACGGUACUGUAAGAAUGAGGAUCGGCUAACUCCGUGCCAGCCGCCGCCGUAA